rnacentral:sRNA from 1 species
AUUUGGACUUCCUUGUACUGUCAAUUUAAUUAAGUCAGCCAGUCUUCCGAUUUAUGCGAUGAUAACUCAGCCAUCACGUUAUAAUAACUCAACCAAAUAU